CUUCUUGUUUCUCUUCAGAUCGUAUAAUCUUUUCGCCUUACUUAAGAUUUCCGUUGGAGAGGAACAAUAAGCGGUGCAACGAUUUUUGAUGCCCUGCUUAAGUGCGGGGC
rnacentral:snRNA from 1 species